rnacentral:lncRNA from 1 species
GACAUAGGGCCACUGACAUCAACAUAGACCCCGGUUGCAGCGGAACUUAGAACUUGUCAUGGAGCUUGGCAGCAACACAGAUCUAGACAUCAGAAUGGCCUGAUGUGACAGUAUAGGCCACUCAGAACAAUAUGGCCUCUGGUGGCAGUGUGGCUCAUGGUCAUCAAUAUAAAUACUCCUGGCAACACAAAUGACAGACAUCUAUAAGACCUUCAGGAGUAAUAUGGGCUAUGGACAUAAACAGACCCCAGCUGAAGUAGAACCAUGAACCCAGACAUGGCCACCACCAGAAGCAAAGACCUGGACAUCACCAUGACCUCAGACAGCAGUGCAGGCCUUUCACAUCUACAUGGCCCCUGGUGGCAGCAUGGCCCUACGUACAUCAAGAUGGCCUCAGGUUCAACAGAAGAUGGAAAACACUUUCAAGAUUCAGCAAACAAGAGCUGCCUGUCCAUCUACCAAGUCUGUCCUGCUAGCAUAUUGAAAGAAACCUCAGAUGUCUAGUAAACCAUGGGUUAAACCAACAAACUCAAUCUUCUAAAAUAACACCAGCCUGCCAUUCAGGUGUAUCAGUCCUUGUGAGCCACUGGACCACUGGCAACAAUUUGGCGCCCAGACUGGAACCUGAAGAAGUUUAGGAGGACGCUGAGGGAACGCUGUUUUGUGUGGAGCUCCACGGAAGAAAAAGAAAAAGAAAAGGAUUGUAUCGGACAAUGAAGCAACAGAAAAAGAAGUUGUAGCGAGAUGGCUGCCUGAGAGAUUAGUUCGUCAACUGGACACAGAUCCUGAAUCUUCUAGUAAGUA